CAGACAUUCCAUCUUCACUCAUAUCUCCCAGAAAAAAAUAACCUUUCCACAAAGUUACACGUCUGAUGUCAACUACAGGCUGCCCCAGUUUCUCACAAUCCAGGUGGGCAAACCAGGAUGCUGAUCCAGCUGGAGAGAGGUGUCUGCUUGCAGCCCUGAUGCAGAUGCCUGCACAGACAAUAUUCAAAGCACAAUCCCAUUCUAGGUAUAUCCUGUGGCUCACUCACUCCAGGCUGGAGAUGUUGCCUGGGUUUCCACUCCACGCUGUGCAGGACAGAAGCCAACCAGCCCUGGGAUGCUGAUGGCACCCUGGGUCUUACCAAAUGGCAGAAAGGGUGGCAGCUACCUUGAAAAUGCCCAGAUCACUGAGCACAUCUGACCUUCCCCCUUGGGCUGAGCCUGGCAAGGAGAUGAAAGACUUUCCAGACUGGAAAUUGUUGGAGCAACCUGUUCAGAGACAAACCUGCUCAGCUAGAGUCUGGACUGGGGCCAAAACGAGCUCCUCCACUUUCAGCUCUCUCUCUCAAGUAGAACACUGUAUUCCCAUAUUUGUUGUGGUCUAUUACUCCUUAUUGUUAAUUCUAGGUUUAUUAAAAAUUAACAUCUGUUAACCAGAGACACUAAUCUCAUCCAGACUUUUAAAAUUCUUGAGUGCCAAUUACCCUGGACUGCUAAACCAAAAAAAGUGUAACUCUACUAAAUCUUGCUGGGCAUUUUCUUUAGUCGCUAUUAAUCUGAAAAUUAUUUCCUUUUCCUCAUCUAGUGUGAGCACAGCUCUCAGCUGCUGUUUAAAAAGAGCACAGAAAAUUUUAAUCAAACUUGUUUGGUUUUUCUCUGCAUCAUUACACUAAAUUAAAUCAAUAACUUUCAGGUGGGAGGGAGAAAUCCAUGAUUUUCUUGUUAUCUCUGUGCAAUUAUCUUUCUUCAUUAGACAUAUCUGAGACCCAUGCCAGACUAUAUAUUAAUAUAUAGUCCAACCUUUAAACUGCUUUCUUUAUCAUUCAUGUUUUUUUUGAGUGCUGUUGCUUACUGUCACGUCACAGGUCUGGCAGGUUAUAAGUGGGAUCAUUAAAAAUAGCUCAUUUUAGUAAUAACACAGCACUAUUCAUAUUUCAUUUGGUAUUUAACAGUCCACAGGAGACUCUCAUGCUUUCUCAUUUGCCAGAUUGUCUCUUCUAAAUGUCAUUGUCAACCACUCACAUCCAGUUCAUCCUCCUGAGCAAAAUGGCUUUCAUAAAGCCUACCACAACCAAAGCAGCUAAACAGAUGGCAGACUGCCUCCCUGCAAUUUUCUCAGGCCUGAGUUCCAUCCCUUUAAAAUAAUAGCUCCCCUUGAAGUAAGGAUGUUCCUUUGUAUUAAAACAUGAAAUAUAAUAAUUACAGAGGCUAUGGAGCAAUUCACUCAGUCACUGAAUGAGCCAGAUAAAUAAAUGCAGGAGCAGGUGAGGAGCCUGCCCCAAGGUGGUCUGGCCUGUAUGCUGAGAACUAAACUCAAAUUUAAGUUCCUGUGCUUAGACUCAGUGGAGCAAUGCUUUUCUGUGGCUAAUCAACUCCCUGUGUCAAUUCCUGAUGACACAGAGGUGAAAAGAGUGGAUAUUUCAGCAUGAGAAAGGGAAAGCAGCUGGUGCCAAGGAAGGGAUGUGGCUCUGGGACAGCACUGCUGCCCUGGCUGAGGCUGAUGCUUGGCCAGACGUACAACCCACAGCAGGACUGCUGCUCUUCCCAAGGGGCAGCCAAGGGACUGAAAGCAUUCUGUGCACCAGCCCUGCCCGCUGCCUCUGCAGGAGCAGCGUGCUAUUGAGCUCUAACCCAGCUAACGUGCUGCCCCUGUUCUUGGAGCAGCCCCAGCCCUGAAAUGCUGCCCUUGAGCAUCCUGCAAAGCUGCUCACCUGAAGCCUGCAUUACAAAGGGGAGUAAAAAAUGUUGGUCUGUGCAGCCAUAGCUCCUGGUUAGGAAUGUCUGGCUCUGUUUUCAUCUUCCUGCCCAUCUGAUUUAUUUAGAUUAUAAACUCCAGCCCUCACUACACUUUAUACACUUCCUCGUGUAAGGAGAUGCUAAUCUCUGUGUGGGUAACUGAGGGUAAAUCAACAUCACAAGAAUAUAUCAGUUCAACUGUUUCAUUCAAGGAGAUUAAGAGAAGAAGAUUAUACUAUUAUUAAACUUUUCAAAGUUCAAUAAA